CAGUAGCCGCGGUAAUACGAAGGGUGCAAGCGUUACUCGGAAUUACUGGGCGUAAAGCGUGCGUAGGUGGUGGUUUAAGUCCGUUGUGAAAGCCCUGGGCUCAACCUGGGAAUGGCAGUGGAUACUGGCUUGCUAGAGUGUGUCAGAGGAUGGUGGAAUUCCCGGUGUAGCGGUGAAAUGCGUAGAGAUCGGGAGGAACAUCAGUGGCGAAGGCGGCCAUCUGGGACAACACUGACGCUGAGGCACGAAAGCGUGGGGAGCAAACAGGAUUAGAUACCCCAGUAGUCCCUGUCUCUUAUAC
rnacentral:rRNA from 1 species